rnacentral:tRNA from 1 species
GCAUCCAUAGCUCAAUUGGAUAGAGCGUCGGUUUCCGGAACCGAAGGUUGGGGGUUCGAAUCCUCUUGGAUGCA